AUACGGAGGGGGUUAGCGUUGUUCGGAAUUACUGGGCGUAAAGCGUACGUAGGCGGACUGAUCAGUUGGGGGUGAAAUCCCAGGGCUUAACCCUGGAACUGCCUUCAAUACUGUCAGUCUUGAGAUUGGAAGAGGUGAGUGGAAUUCCUAGUGUAGAGGUGAAAUUCAUAGAUAUUAGGAGGAACACCAGUGGCGAAGGCGGCUCACUGGUCCAAUACUGACGCUGAGGUACGAAAGCGUGGGGAGCAAACAGGAUUAGAAACCCUAGUAGUCC
rnacentral:rRNA from 1 species